CCACCCCUUGGAAGAGCUGUUAAAGCUAAAGCAGUCGAUGGUUCUCAAACAUCGACGACAGUGAACCCUUUCAGCAAGGCGGCAAAAGGUAUGGAGAGCGGCACAAUACUAUACCAUAAUUAAAUAUUCACAACAUCGAAAACGAUACAUGGCAGCCCACAUAGACCAACACUGAGAUCAACUUUGUCGGAACAGAAGUGGCAAAAAGGGUAAAACAAAGACAAACAACAACAAUAAGGCACGUCAAAAAAGAGAGGUAUUGAAUCUUAGAAUGGAUGUUAUUUACUCCCAGCAAAACGUGCAUUGAUUCUCCGUGAAGUACUUAAAUGAAGAUUUCUUUUAAAGGUAAAUUGUCGAUUGUUUUGCUUUGUUUUGUUUAGGCAAUGGAUACAUCCACCAUCGUCCAUUACCGGUUGUUCCAGUGACCACAGUUCUUGACGGAUCUAAAAUGGCGAACACUUACCCGGCAAAUGCCUUCGCUCAAAGCGUCAAUCCCUUCCCACGUAUCGAACAACAGGGAUUCUUGAGCAGGACUUUCAGAAAAUGGUUUGGAUACUAAUCUGCUUUCUCGUUCACUCAAAUUUAAAUUUUUUUUAAAGUUUAUUCUAUUUAUCAUAAGUUUACUUUAUUCAAGUUGAUCUUAAAUCAAGUUCAUAAUGUGUUUUAUCCUUUUUGAAUGAUUGUAAACAUCCCUGCCAAAUAGCAAUAAUGAUAUAGCAUGGAUUUGAAAACAUUUACUAUUUUCAAAUGAUUAAUUUUAAAUAUACUUGCCAAAUAUACCACCAAAUAUGAUUGUAAAUAUUUAUAUAAUGAUUUUUUCUUUCAAAAUAAUUGUGAUAACUGUAUGUUGCCAAAUGUUUUGAUAUGACAAUUGCAUAUGAUUGUAAAUAUCUUGGAAAUACCACUGAGUUGUAAAUAAGGUUACAAACAUGAUGUUUAUAUGCUGCGACAUUCAAAGACGUUCUUUUCAAAUCAUUUUACGUUGUAAGUAUUUAUAUACAACUGACUUUGCAAACUUAGCCGCCGAUUCAGUCUAAAAAUUGUUUCCGCUAUAUCGAUAUGUCCUGACUUUUCAGUUAAAGCCUUUCAUGCCUGUUUCAUUAAGUUAAGUGGUAUUUGUUUGCAAACAUGUUUGCAAACGUGUUUGCUUGCAGUUCCACGAUUCUUAUAGACACAGCUUUAACGUUUUCAGUUUUUUGCAAGUACCGUAAAAUUCCGAUUACAAGAACCCACCCACCCUUCCCCGAUUAUUCUACAGACACAAGCUCUAUUACCAAUAUGAAUUCCUCUAAUAGUACCCACGUAACCGCUCACAAAAAAGUAGGGGAGGGGAGGGGGGAGGGGAGGAGGGGGCAAAACGCGUGGAACCCAGGCUAAAAAAACAAACAUAGGCCUUCGUCAAAGAACUAAACUUCUUUCGAUAAUAACACCACUCUUACCCCUACCCUGAGUAUUUGUCAGAAGCAAAUACCCCACUGGAAAAUAAGCCUUCUAAAAUACUUUGGAAUAAGUAUAGGUCCAGGGCAGUGUCGGAAUUUUAUGGUAUGUUACAACCACUUUUAUAUGCCAAUGGCGUUUGAAAUACACAUUGUUUUACUAGCUAGCGAUUGUAAGUCUUUAGGGUACUAUGUAGAAUAAGACAAGGAAUACUUCCCAGGCUUAGGAAUCACCUAAGUCUGGGAGGUGAAAGAUGAGAAAUUAUCAUAAAGAUAAGACAGCCAAUAGGCAUUCCUUCUCUAAUCUCACAUAAUCUCUUUAUAAAAGUUACAGAGUUCUAUCUACUUUUCAGUAUUUUCUCUCGCAGCGAAACAACUUACACGAAUGAGUAUACAAAUUGAGUACUAACAUCUAAGUGGCAUAUGUAAAUGCAAUUUAUACAACUAAGAAGAUUUCAUGUAACAUUUAAGUUAAGUGAUGGUGGAUUAAACAUUGAGAUUCUGGAAAUUGUGUUGUUUCUUCUUCCUGUCAGGGAGUAGGCAGGCAUUUAGCAGCCGCUCUCUUGAAGUAUGAAAGCAAUCAAACUUUCACCGCCCGGCCGGGUUAAAUCUGUUUUAGCUUCCUUAUCUUAGCUUGGGAAAAAAAACUGUUCUUAACAUUAAUUGUGAUAGGUUCACUGUCGUUAACAAUCGCAAGGUGAUAAUUAAUCAGCAAGCCAUUUACAGCAAAGCAAGCAGUUUUCUUUUUACUGAGGUUGGUUCGGACUAAGUUCCUCCUCAGACAUUCCAUUCGGUAACAUAUUACUGGGACCAGCAGAAUGUCAAAAAUGUUACUCGAUUGCCGUUUGCCGGAGGCAACCACCCCGAGGGGGGGGUAUCCCCUGUAACAGCCUAUACGGAGAGGCUCCGCCAGAAAGGGGUACCUUUUUCAGUCUUCAGGUAUAUAAAAGGGUAGGGAAAUCUGUUAUUUAGAUAUAAGGAGAACGGAAACUGAAUAAAGAUCAAUAAAUGAAACCUGAAUUUUUGGUUAACAUUUCUUCUGGUAAUGCUUGAUGUUCUCCCGUAGUAUUGUUUAUUAACUUCAUUCCGAGGGUUUAGAAAAGGGUGUGUAGUGUUCUCAAGUAGGUAGGUGUGUUACCUUUUUUCAAUACAAGGUAAACGAAAGGGGUACCAUUUCUGUCAAAAUGGUAUACAAAAGGGUAAGGGCUUGGACCUCGGGGGGAGCCUCCCCGGACAAAACUUUGUAUUGUACCCCUACUCCCUUUCCCACUGUGGGGGUAGCCAUGAUGAGUUGUGUAUUUCUGCGCACAGGUUUCUGGGUAUGUUUAUUGCACCGACUUUGAACAGUUACACGAGCUAGUCAAAUUUUAUGCCAGUUACUUGCGAUGGGAUCCCAAGCCAUAAAUAUACUGCAUAUGGCCCCAUAGUUUCCUUUUUCUGUGUACAAAAUUGGCGAUCACGGUUUCGAGGCGUGGGUGAAAUAUUUUGGUCAAUUGUGAUCUAAUGGUGUUACGAGGCCGAAGUCUCAAUGGAGUGUAUACUCCAUUGAUUCCCUUCAAAAAAGAACAAAAUCAUAGUAAAUGUUACAAAAUAUAUCAGACUUCGGCCUCAUAAUAUCUAUUAAAAUCAAAAUUUGUUUGAAGGGCAUGCUCAACACCUUCUCAUGUCUUCCAAGUACAUCCCACCUGGGUACCACAUUCGAGUGAGGUACAGUUGGGCACUUUUCAUUCGACCAAAGAUUCGGGUUUGAAUCCCCGGAAAUUUAUUGUGGCGAAAGGAACUUACAGCAUUUUCAGGAAUUUCCGAAAUAGUUGGAUAUGGAUAGACGGAUAUCUUUGCAUUCAGUAAUUUUAUUUUGGAUUUACUUAAUAAUAUUUUAAUCUACCACUGAUCUACAAAAAAUACUGCUCCACACACCCUUGUAAGUUUUUUUUUUUACAACAAGACUGUACAAGUCGUUGUGAUAUGCGCGCUUUUAAAUCACUAGCACUAACUUUUACCGUAAGCUGUACUCAGCUAAGUAAUUUAACUUUUGGAUUUGGUGUUUUCAACUACUGCACUGUUUAAGGACACCGUUGUGGGGUGCUAACCGGGCAGAAACAGAUAUAUUUGAACCCUUAUAGGAAACUGGUGAGGGCACCAAUUUAUAUAAGUUAAAAAAAUUAUAAAAUACAAAUAAAUAACAGAAGUCACUGCCGACCAAAUUCAAUGGUCUUGACAUCAGAGAAGAGAUUUAACAUCAAUUAAGACUAAUCAAGGGCCUCCUUGCCAUAUUUAGAUUUUUCUGUUCUAUUAACUCACAUUCGACCCUCCGUAUUAUUUCACAAGAACUACUGUUAAUCGUAGGCUUUAAGAAAAUACGUAUAAAGGACGAAACAAGAAAAAACAAUCGUGUUAGGAAGGGACAAAUAUUGUGACCGAAGCACAUAUUGUGCCCGUUUCAACAUUCAAAUCGUCUCGUGACACUUUCCUUGAAAUAAAAAUUGCAUGACGAGAAGCACUGCCUAACCAAACCAAUAGUGUCACAUACAUAUAGACAUUUCUGGUCGUUUCUUUCUUAGCAUUACGGGAAGGAUUUCACCAGCCCAAACUAAAGAGAAGGGUGCUCUUUCCUUUGUUUCCACAUGCCAUUUGUCUUUUAUGCCCAGGGCCCAGCGAUCUUAACAAACUGUUUGGGACUGGGAAUGAGGUUGAUGAGGGAAUGAGGAAUGUGGUCCCUUACUCAUUCUCACUCGGCUGAUAUCAGUGAUAGCAAUGAUACGGCUACUUGCAGUUUACAGUACUACUGAACUCUUGUGCUCUGAUGGAUGUUUCAUGCAAACAAACAAUAAAAAGAAUUUUGUUUUUCUGCACAAUAGCUACAUGUUAUUGUAUUUACCCGUCAGUCUACUAAAGUUGUCCAAUCAAUUGCAUGGCAUUAAUGUUCAGUGUAUGAAAUUAAUUUUUUUUGCAACCUUGGGCAAAAAGGUGUUUGAGAAUUUCUUAAAACAAAUUGUUUUUCAAAAAAAGAGGGGAAAAGUGUACCUGAUCACUGAAGUUAGUUAAAUUUCUAAGUAUUAAGAUUACAAAAUUUAAAUAAUAAACUUAUUGUAUUUGUCUGCCUUGGUCUAAUGUGUAAUUUAAAAGAAUCUUGUGACAUUCAUUAAUUGAUUAGUUAAAUUCGUGACCAUUAUAAAAAAAUUUCUCUGUCAUUUAAACUAAUAUUGCAGUCUACAUUUCACUCAUUCUUUCUCCAUUACAUUCUUUUUUAUAAUUAUCUUAUUUUUCCAAAUAUUGCACUGAAAUAGUACUAUGCAAACGACACAUACAGGCUUAAGGGUACAUGUAAUUGCCAAUCAGAAUACCAGGUACAAAAUCAAGUUUGACAAACGCAGAAGUAGAGCUUCCACAACUCUACAUAUGUGUUUUGGUGAUCCAAGUUUUUGUGCUCAUGCACCCCUAUAAAAAGUAUAUGCACAGCAGGUCUGGACCCAGAAUUCAUGUUACUCUGAGUAACAAUAACAACAAAAUAAACAUUUCUGGUAGCAAUUCCAAUAGAGUCAAUGACUGAGCCAACGGCCUGCAGUUGAGAAGUUGUGUUAAAACAAAAUUACCCACAGAUGUUUUUUUUUUACCACUGAUUGAUACGUGUAUCUUUACCAUUGGUGCCAUGCUGAUGUUACAACUCCGAAUAACAUUUCAAGAUGGUUAUUCGAUAGAAUGUGAAUGAAAUGAGGAAGGUGAGUUUUUCAUCCAGAAUUCUGACUGGAUUUUGAACGACAGGAAAACUCCCUGAGUCCUUUUGUGUAGAUUUGCCAGAAAGAAUACAUGUCUUUCUGACUGGGUGUACUGUAACCAGGAGUGGUCAUUUUGCAGUGGAAAGUUAGUAUCCCUUUGGCUUUCUAUGGCACCAUACCACUCAGUAUUUUUGGCACCAUGCAUGUGUAUAAUUUGAGGCAAAACAGACAGGCAAUGCCUCUUCUUCUCAUUCCCUACCAUUUGACGGCCUGGAACAAGCUACUCUAUACAAUAUCAACUACCAACUUUGUACAAUGUUGCCAAAACAACCUGUAAAUUUUCACUGUAAUGGUACUUACUACGAUGGCAUGCAUGUAUAUUAAGUAAGGUGUACUGUUAAUAUUAUAAUAAUAUUAAUAUUAUUCAUGGAAAUAGUUUAUACAUUCCAGUCUUCAGCUAGGAUCCAGACCUCCACCUGGAGGAGUCGCCUCUGGAGUGUGCCUCUGAAAUUGUGAUAUAAAUCAGAACAAUCACUGCAUAGCUGAUUACUGCUGACAAAAACAUGGUCUAUGUAAAGAGAAAAUUUUCUGACUGAUAAUUCAAACAAAUGAAACU